UACGUAGGGCGCAAGCGUUGCCCGGAAUUAUUGGGCGUAAAGAGCUCGUAGGCGGCUUGUCACGUCGGGUGUGAAAGCCCGGGGCUUAACCCCGGGUCUGCAUUCGAUACGGGCAGGCUAGAGUGUGGUAGGGGAGAUCGGAAUUCCUGGUGUAGCGGUGAAAUGCGCAGAUAUCAGGAGGAACACCGGUGGCGAAGGCGGAUCUCUGGGCCAUUACUGACGCUGAGGAGCGAAAGCGUGGGGAGCGAACAGG
rnacentral:rRNA from 1 species